UUCAACGUAACAUUUCUUGUGGUGGUCGUUUGUUUCAGAUUAUGAAGCUAUUGUGAAGCUGUCAGACGGUUUCAACGGCGCUGAUCUGAGGAAUGUGUGCACAGAAGCAGGUUUGUUUGCUAUCCGCGCUGACAGAGAGUACGUCACUCAAGAGGACUUCAUGAAAGCCGUGCGGAAGGUGGCGGAUUCCAAGAAGCUUGAAUCCAAGCUGGACUACAAGCCUGUAUGAAUCAAAUGUCAUUGGCCUUUUCCCAUAUUUUCAUUGAUUUGCUGUGUUUGUUCUCCAGGUUACCAAUUUAGUGAUUUUUACUGAGUAACCCCUGUUUUGCCUUUAAUUAGUACAUAAGAAUUAGCUCAUAAAGGCUGAUCAUUCUCCCAUCUCACAGAACAUCUGUUAAAAGAAACUUGUACUAAAAAUACACUGUUAUAUGGGAAAGUCCUUGUUUUUUAUUCUUUGAUCUCAUUGCCAUAAAGUGAGUGUGAUGGAUAUUCAGCAACCCACUGACUGCAUUUUGCAAAACCCAUUAAAGGUAAACAUUACACAA